GAGUCGCGAACGGGUGAGUAACGCGUAGGUAACCUACCUUUUAGCGGGGGAUAACUAUUGGAAACGAUAGCUAAUACCGCAUAAGAUAUCUUACUGCAUGGUAAGAUAUUAAAAGAUGCAAUUGCAUCACUAAGAGAUGGACCUGCGUUGUAUUAGCUAGUAGGUGAGGUAACGGCUCACCUAGGCAACGAUACAUAGCCGACCUGAGAGGGUGAUCGGCCACACUGGGAUGAGACACGGCCCAGACUCCUACGGGAGGCAGCAGUAGGGAAUCUUCGGCAAUGGGGGGAACCCUGACCGAGCAACGCCGCGUGAGUGAAGAAGGUUUUCGGAUCGUAAAGCUCUGUUGUAAGAGAAGAACGAGUGUGAGAUGGGAAAGUUC
rnacentral:rRNA from 1 species